UACAAUUGAAUGACGCGCGGGUUAACGAUUCCGGCCUGUAUUUCUGUCAGGUGAAAACUAUGAGCAGCGAAGCAUAUGGGACAGGGACGUAUCUCACGGUGAACGUGGGAAGAGACGAGGUCUUCACCGUGAAGCAAGGGAAGAUAAAAAGUGUCACCAUUCUGCUGCUGAUCCUGGCAAUCUCGGUCAUGUUGGAAGGCUGCUUUCUUCUCGUCAUCAUCCACCUCUGCAGGCAAUACCGUAGAGACAAACGU